UACGUAGGGUGCGAGCGUUAAUCGGAAUUACUGGGCGUAAAGCGUGCGCAGGCGGUUAUGUAAGACAGAGGUGAAAUCCCCGGGCUCAACCUGGGAACUGCCUUUGUGACUGCAUGACUAGAGUACGGCAGAGGGGGAUGGAAUUCCGCGUGUAGCAGUGAAAUGCGUAGAGAUGCGGAGGAACACCGAUGGCGAAGGCAAUCCCCUGGGCCUGUACUGACGAUCAUGCACGAAAGAGUGGGGAGCAAACAGG
rnacentral:rRNA from 1 species